GAACGCACAUUGCACCCUCUGGUAUUCCGGAGGGUAUGCCUGUUUGAGUGUCAUUAAUAUCUCAACACAGACAAGUUUUAUGACUUGCACUGAUGCUUGGAUGCUGAAGGUUGCUGGCAAUAUUUGUCAGCUCCUUUUAAAUGUAUUAGCAGAAACCUAUGCAAAUAGCUGGCUUCAGUUUGAUAAGCACUUAUCUGUAUUGCUGUUGCUAGUGAAAUGCUCUUGUUUCAGCUUCCAAUUGUCCAAUUCUUUGGACUGCCUCUCGAGGUAAUUUAAUCUUGACACUUGACCUCAAAUCAGGUAGGACUACCCGCUGAACUUAAG
rnacentral:misc_RNA from 1 species